CUUGGUCAUUUAGAGGAAGUAAAAGUCGUAACAAGGUUUCCGUAGGUGAACCUGCGGAAGGAUCAUUACAAGUGAGGCUACCGAACGUUGGAAACAGCGGUUAGGAGCUUACACCCACCCGUGUUUACAUACUAUUGUUGCUUUGGCGGGCCGUGGCCUCCACUGCGGGCUCUGCUCGUGUGUGCCCGCCAGAGAACCAAACUCUGAAUGUUAGUGAUGUCUGAGUACUAUCUAAUAGUUAAAACUUUCAACAACGGAUCUCUUGGUUCUGGCAUCGAUGAAGAAUGCAGCGAAAUGCGAUAAGUGAUGUGAAUUGCAGAAUUCAGUGAAUCAUCGAAUCUUUGAACGCACAUUGCGCCCUGUGGUAUUCCGCAGGGCAUGCCUGUUCGAGCGUCAUUUAACCACUCACGCCUAGCGUGGUAUUGGGGCACGCGGUCUCCGCGGCCCUCAAAAUCAGUGGCGGCGCCGGUGGGCUCUAAGCGUAGUACAUACUCCCGCUAUAGAGUUCCCCCCGGUGGCUCGCCAGAACCCCCAAUUUUUUACAGGUUGACCUCGGAUCAGGUAGGGAUACCCGCUGAACUUAAGCAUAUCAAUAAGCGGAGGA
rnacentral:rRNA from 1 species